AAGUAUAUAUUUUCUAAUAAUUAUCAACUAAUUAUAUUUAAUCAAUUCAAAUAUUCAUAAUUGUUGUUCCUUAAAAAUAUACAUAACUAUCUUAAAAUAUAGAUAAUAUAUUUUUGUGGAACAAUUUUCUUUAUAUAAAAACUUGUAUUUUCGGGGAAAGAAUGUAUAUUUUAUAUUUUCAAGGAAGAAAUAUAAGUGUGUAUAAUAGAAUUAUCUCUAAAUGUUAUUAUAGAGAAAAAUAUAAAGAUAAGUUGGAGAUCUUUAAAUAGAAAGAAAGACACAAAAUCAAAAAGAAGUUUGGGUGAAGUUAUAAGGAUUUGAUGGGAGAGGAGUCGUUCGGUCUUCAAAGAUGUAGGAGGAGCCUCUCGGUCCUUCAUGCCGAGAUGAAUCUUUGAGCAGUGACAUGUCUAUGUGGGAUGCAGAUUUCGAUUACCCAAAUUGAGACCAACUGCCCUGACUUAGUGCAUAUGUGGACUCGCCGGCCUUUUCCACGUAGCUUAACUAUUUUCAUCUAUUACGUUUCUAUUUUGAGUUGUUUACUCUUUUCCACAUUCACUAGGGCCUCACUGGUAUAACCGUAGCGGUUGUGAGAGUUUGCAGAUACGGGUGGUUGUAGUUUUAAAUGGUUUUAAAAGAUUUGUAUGACUCAUACUGCGUAUAGAAAUUGGUGCAUUUACGGAAUAUUUAUAACUGGUUAACCACCAAAUACAACAACGGUUAAAUAAUAAAUUAAUAAUAUUUACAUUUUAAAUAAUUAGAAAAAAUAUUAAACAUCAUAAUAUUAUAAUAAAUAUAAAAAUAUAAUUUAUAGAAAAUAUUUUUAUUUUAAAAAUAUAAAUUUAAGCAAAAAAUCUAUUUUGAAGGUUUUCAUAGAUUAGGGUCAUUUUAAACAUUUUUAGAUAUGUAUGAUUUUUUUUCAGAUCUAAAGACUAUAUAUUCUGACUUUAUUGAAGACUUCUUGAAAGACUUCAUGGCAUGCUUCACACGAGCAUACUUCUCAAGCAAACUUCUUGGAAAUAUUUUUAGAAGACUUCACGUGAAUGAAGCGGCAAACUAAAAUUUUAAAAGAAAUUUAACUGUGAAUUAGAAGACUUAUAAGGUAGUCAUCUAAUUCGGAGUCAAAUUUCAUUGAAAAAGUUAGUUGUCUCUUGUGGUUAGGAGACUCUUGUUUUGAUAGUUUAUAUAAUAUUGUAAAUAAUAUCAUCCACUUUAUCUCCGAUCUAUUAAAAAAAAUCUUCGUUUAAUGUUUUUGAUAAAAAAAAAUCUUUGUUUAAUGUUUAAUUCACUUAUUCAAGUUCUUGUAGUUAUAAUAGUAUUUCUUUUGUUACGAUUAUGGUUAUGCAAAUUAAAGGGGACAGUUAUAAUAGUAUAAAAGUUGACACAAGUUCAACACAACAAUAAGUUCAUAACACAAUAAUAUAAGUUUCAAAAUAUAACAAAUUACUUAACAAUAAAUUCAUAACACUAUAUAUAUAUAUAUAUAUAUAUUUAUUUAUAUAAAAAGACUCUGAAGUUACUUAAAUUUCAUGAAAGUUUAAAAUUAUAUCUUAUGAUCUAGUAAGACAUUAAACCACAUGACUUGAUAUUUUUGAAGUUAUUUAACAUCUUUAAAAGUUAAAAAAAAAACAUAUCUUGAAGUUACUUAUUAUUCUUGAAAAUACAAGUUUACAAAAACUAACAGAAAAGACUUCUCCAGAAAUCUUCGCUCAACAGAAUUUUUAAGAAGCAUACUCUUAUUUGCUAGAAAUAUUAACAAACAUGUAUGUUUGUAACCUCAUAAUUAUUAUCAAUUAAGUUACUAAUUUUAUUUAGGAACCCUAAUAUUGACUAAUACAAACGAAUUAACAAGAAGAAAAAAAUUAAAAAGUCAUUUUAAUUUUAUAGAAAAUAAAAAUUUAAUAAAUAUUGACGUAGAAAAUUUCUAAAGAAAUUUUUAUUUAGGUUAUUUUUGCAAUUAAAAUUUUACGAAAGAAAACUUCUUAAGAAGACUACUCUAAAGCAUAUUUCUUAAAAAGACUUCCUAUGUAAAUAUGGGCUUACUUUUAUAUUUGAAAAUUUUUCGAAAAUAUCAGAGAAGACUACUAAUGUAUGAUGAAAAUACCCAAAAAAAAUAUUUAUAUGGGAUAAAAUUUAACAAAUGAAAGUUUUAAAAAAAAUCAUUGGUUUGUUUUGCAUUUGACUUUUUGUUUUAAAUCAUAUUUGCAAAACGCUCAUUAAUGUAUGAUAAAAAUUAUGCGUAACUGUAAUGCAUACAUAAAGAUUGUUUUAUGUUAUGCAAAAACUGUGUUUUUUUUGUAAAUCGUUUUGCUGUAUAAUCUCUUGUAUAAAAAUUGUUUUAUUUUUCUUAGUCAUAACCUUGGUUUGUAUAGUAGUUUGUAUAAUAAAAAAAUUGUGAAUGGAUUAAAUUAUUUAUUUGAUAAACUGUUUUGUAAUGUGUAGGUUUGUAUUAGACUAUUAGUUAGUUAAUAUAUGAUAUACAACACGGACAUUUACGUGAUUCAACUUAAUCCUUAGUAAUAAAAACCAACAACACAAUAUAUUGAGUGAAUUAAAAUAUUUUCGUAUUUUUAUAUUAUAUAUUAAUAAUUGUCUGGAUGCUUUUAUUAAGAAUGGUUUAUUAGUUUCUAGAUUAGGUGUGCGCAACAUUUAUUAAACAUUCAAGUUACCUUUUGGAUAAUAUCUUAGAAAAUAAAGAAAAACCAUAGAUAGUGUAAAAAAUGAAUGAAAAACCUUGAAAAUUAAUGAAAAUAUCUAGGUACCUUUUAGAUAUUUGAGUAUAAAAGAUAUAGGAUAAUUAAAGAUAGUGUAAGAUCUUUAAUAUCUUUAGAUUUGGUUAGAUUAAUGUGUUUGUUAUUAUUAUUGUUAUGACAAAUGGUAUAUGUCAAUUUUAGUUGGAUCAUUAAAACUUAAUAAUAAUUUUGUAUACUCUCAAAAAUCAAUUGACAAAAAGUUAUUUUAAUAGAAUAGAUGUCCUUUAAAAUAUUUUUUUCGCUGAAUUUAUAUGUAGUCCAUCCAUUCCAUACCACAUAUUCUCGUGUAAUAAAUAAACUUUUGUGCGUCUGUCAAGCACAUAACUUUUCGUACUGAAAGCAUCUAAAAUGUAUACAUGUGUGGGUAACAGAGGUAGGUCUGUGAAUGUCACAUGAAGUAAAUGAGAAUAAUGAAGACACUUUUCUCUCUAAUCUCAUCUUCAUCAAAUCCAACAUAAUCAUGUCUUAAUAAUUCACCUAUCCGUCCUCUUUCUUUCCCUAUUAAUUUUCAUUUUGUAUUAGGUUAUUUGAAUUUCUCAACUAACCCUUUUGACUUUCUCAAUAUUUACUUUGACUUUUCUUUUUUUUUGAUCAAACCAUUUACUUUGACGUAAAUUAUCAUCGGUAUAGUGAUAAAAAUGAUAUACCGUAUGUGUUUACAUAUAUAUAAUAACAUACUUACAUUUCACUGUAACGGUUUUGUUAGUCAAUUUAAAUUAUGCUUAAAUCAUAUAAAUUUAAGAAAAAAAAUAUUUGACCUAAUUUGAUCCGAGAUACGUUCAACCAAACAUAUAGGAUCUUGAUCAUAAAUCGAUAAAAUAUAUGACUUUUCCAAUAUAUACCGUAAACAUAUGAGAGCAUCAUAACCCCAAAAUGUUUAAGUAUAUACUUGUAUCAAACAAACACACAAAAGGUCGUCAAAAUUGAUUUUAAUAUGACUUUAAUAUGUUUGUUCCUUUCAACAUUCUAUCUUUACAAAUUGCCUUUUCUUACUUUUACCACCUACAUUUCCACAAAUCUUUUCCUAAUAAUAUAUAUCUACCUCUUCCUUUCAUCAUUGCUUUCUUGUCUCCUUCUCUUUCACCUUUAUCUUGUUUAUAAAUUAUAGGCUUAUCAUCUCUCUUGUAAAAGUUAGGGUUCUUCUUAUGGUCUCCAUGUUCAUCUCUGAAGUUUUUUUCUUUUGAGGGGAAUGUUGUCUGGCACGAGGCCCUUAACACAGAUCUACGAUCGGUUAUAUAUAUAAUAUAUGAACGAUCAAUUUAGUGGUUGAUGACGUCGGACCAGGCUUCAUUCCCCUCAAUUACAUCGCUUCGAUCCAUCUUCUAGUCAUUUCCCGCUCAAGCUCUCGUGCAAACUCCUUUUGUCUGCCGACGACAAUGGUGAUGUGGUCUUUAUCAGGAAUGAUGUGGACAGUCGCACGUGGCACUCUGGUCUUGACGCUGUAGCUACACUCCACAGGAAUAACCUCGUCCUCGCCACCGUGGAAGAUGGUGACGUCACAGUCCACGUGGUCACGGACAUAGUCCAGAUAAGAAUCGAGCUUGCCUCCUGAUCCGAAUAUGAUAUUGUGUAAUGUGUGCCACGACCCGUUGUGUGUGUGACAUAAAAAUCCUUCUAUCAAAUACGUUCGCAUCCUGCAAAAGAGUUUAAUUUAGCUUAUUUAAAAUGUGUAGGUGUAUAUAUAUAUUUUUAUUUGUAGGUAUAUAUUGUUUAUGUAUAUGCUUACAUUUAGUGGAAGAAACUAUUCAUAUUAGUAUCAGAAAAACAUUAAAAUUUAUCAUAUAUUAUGAUGAUGCAAAAUUUAUCUUGUCUUCUGUCAAAAAAAAAUUAUCUUGUUAGAAAAUUUCAAAUGAGCUAAAAAAAUUAAAACUAUACUAAUUUUUUAAAAAGUUCAUCUAAAUAUUGUUUUAACAGAGCCAAACUAAUCUGGAUUUUAUAAAUUUAAAUUCUUUUUAACUUAAUAUUUUUUGUAUCUCAUUUUAUAUUGUAUAGUCUUUAUAAUACAUAUUUAUAGUACAAACUCAAAACGUAAGUUAAUGGGGCCAAAUAGUGGAGGCGACACGGUAAGUCGUUUCCUGUGGUAAGACAAAAAAAAUUUUUUUCUCUAAAAUACAUAAACCUAUUAGGUUGCAUUCUUGCAUUUCCUAAUAUGGCACCACAUAUUUUAUGUAAGAUUUACUAAAGUGAACCAUCAACUUCUUAUUAUUAGAAAUAUUGUAUAACAAUUACGAAACGUCAACUUCAAGAUAUUGAGUAUAUAUAAGAGUAGUAGACGAGUGGUUGGUUCACUAAAACUUAUAGACUUUAAGACAUUUCGGUGUUCCCCUAAUCUUAUGAACCGUGAACUUCGGGUCAAAUCUUGUUUACUUAAUUUUCAACAAAAAGAUUGUGGACGUACGUAAACCUUCGAUCGGUCGUCUGAUCAGUAAGACCAUAAUUAACCCAGUUUCUUAAUUUGAGUUCUUAGAUUCGGUUAAAAGAUGGUUUUUAGUUUUUUUUUUAAGAUUUUAAAUAAGAUAUAUAAGAGUUAUUUCUUAGCCGAAAAUUGUAAAACAAAAAAACAAAAAAUAUCAAAUCAUAAGUUAAGAAUUCCAGUUAAGAGACCGGGGUUAAUCAUAUCCUAAGGCUCUUCUUACACGUUUGCGAUUUUGUUUUUUUUUUCUUGUAAAUAUCAGAACAUAUCAAAACGCAAACGAAGUUUGACAAAAAAAAAUCUAAACGCAAACAUAAAGAUAAACAUAAA